rnacentral:snoRNA from 1 species
CUGCAAUGAUGUUUGAAUUUCUUCACCUGAAAGAACCCGUGAAGAGCAAACUUAAACGAGCUUUUUAACCCUGAGCUGU